GAGGGUAUAGCUUAGUGGAAGAGCGCAUGCUUAGCAUGCGUGAGGUCAUGGGUUUGAUCCCCAGUACCUCCA
rnacentral:tRNA from 1 species